GACGUAGGGGCGCAAGCGUUUGUCCGGAUUUAUUGGGCGUAAAGAGCUCGUAGGCGGCUUGUUGCGUCGACCGUGAAAACCCGUGGCUCAACUGCGGGCUUGCGGUCGAUACGGGCGGGCUAGAGUUCGGUAGGGGGAGACUGGAAUUCCUGGUGUAGCGGUGAAAUGCGCAGAUAUCAGGAGGAACACCGGUGGCGAAGGCGGGUCUCUGGGCAGUAACUGACGCUGAGGUGCGAAAGCGUGGGGAGCAAACAGG
rnacentral:rRNA from 1 species